rnacentral:rRNA from 1 species
UACGUAGGGUGCAAGCGUUAUCCGGAAUUAUUGGGCGUAAAGAGCUCGUAGGCGGUUUGUCGCGUCUGCUGUGAAAACUGGAGGCUCAACCUCCAGCCUGCAGUGGGUACGGGCAGACUAGAGUGCGGUAGGGGAGAUUGGAAUUCCUGGUGUAGCGGUGGAAUGCGCAGAUAUCAGGAGGAACACCGAUGGCGAAGGCAGACCUCUGGGCCGUAACUGACGCUGAGGAGCGAAAGCUAGGGGAGCGAACGGG